rnacentral:rRNA from 1 species
AAACUGGGAGUAAUACCGUAUGUGCCCGUUCGGGGGAAAGAUUUAUCGGCAAAGGAUCGGCCCGCGUUGGAUUAGGUAGUUGGUGGGGUAAUGGCCUACCAAGCCGACGAUCCCAUAGCUGGUUUGAGAGGAUGAUCAGCCACACUGGGACUGAGACACGGCCCAGACUCCUACGGGAGGCAGCAGUGGGGAAUCUUAGACAAUGGGCGCAAGCCUGAUCUAGCCAUGCCGCGUGAGCGAUGAAGGCCUUAGGGUUGUAAAGCUCUUUCAGUGGGGAAGAUAAUGACUGUACCCACAGAAGAAGCCCCGGCUAACUCCGUG